rnacentral:lncRNA from 1 species
UAAAUCACACUCUAUAAUAUAUACUCUAAAUGCUUGGAAAAAAGAAGAAGAAAAUCAACUCAAACAAAUUUGCAACAAAUAAAUAAAACGAAAAAAAAUUCAUAUGAAAAAAAUGAUGUUGCGAUUGCUAAAAAUUUAAAAAUCCUAUAAAUAAAUCAACUAAAAAUUAAUCUCAUAUGAAAAAAAAAUCUCACAACAACAUUCAUACAAUUAUUAAGAACAAAAACAAUUAAAAAUGAAAUAAAAAACAAUUAUAGUGAAAAAAAUCAUGAAAAAAAAAGAAAAAAGAAAAAUCUUACCUUUAUAAGGAAAGCAAUCACUCUCCCACAAAUCACUCAUUCAACAGCAU